rnacentral:rRNA from 1 species
GAUGAACGCUGGCGGAAUGCUUUACACAUGCAAGUCGAACGGCAGCACGGACUUCGGUCUGGUGGCGAGUGGCGAACGGGUGAGUAAUACAUCGGAACGUGCCCAGUCGUGGGGGAUAACGUAGCGAAAGCUACGCUAAUACCGCAUACGAUCUAAGGAUGAAAGCGGGGGAUCGCAAGACCUCGCGCGAUUGGAGCGGCCGAUGGCAGAGUAGGUAGUUGGUGGGGUAAAGGCCUACCAAGCCGACGAUCUGUAGCUGGUCUGAGAGGACGACCAGCCACACUGGGACUGAGACACGGCCCAGACUCCUACGGGAGGCAGCAGUGGGGAAUUUUGGACAAUGGGCGCAAGCCUGAUCCAGCCAUUCCGCGUGCAGGAUGAAGGCCCUCGGGUUGUAAACUGCUUUUGUACGGAACGAAAAGGCUCUGGUUAAUACCCGGGGCUCAUGACGGUACCGUAAGAAUAAGCACCGGCUAACUACGUGCCAGCAGCCGCAGUAA